UACGGAAGGGGCAAGCGUUGUUCGGAAUCAUUGGGCGUAAAGGGCGCGUAGGUGGUUCUGUAUGCCUAUCGUGAAAGCGUACGGCUCAACCGUAUUUUGUCGGUAGAAACUGCAGGACUUGAGGCUGGGAGGGGCUGGUGGAAUUCCCUGUGUAGCGGUGAAAUGCGUAGAGAUGGGGGAGAACACUCGUGGCGAAGGCGGCCAGCUAGACCAGUUCUGACACUGAGGCGCGACAGCGUGGGGAGCAAACAGG
rnacentral:rRNA from 1 species